AAAUUUAAAAAAAAUAUAUAUAUAUAUAUAAUAAUAAUUCUUAAUUUAGUUAUGAUUUCAAUUUUCAAUGUAUAUUUCUGUCUCUCCAAAUCACACAUGAGAAUAAAAUGUACCUAUUGUUUUACUGAUAAUUUUUUAAAAUAAUGUCAAUGUAGAAAGCUUCAACUGAUCAUAUAGAUACUAUAUGUAAAUAAUAGUAUUUAUACUGAACAGGCAUUAAGACUAUUUAAAACCAAAUAACCAGAUUUCUAACAUAUGGACACAUUUAUUUAGAGAAAGCAAUCCUCAGACAAUCUCUAGUUCUAUUUUUCUUUAUAACAAAUUCAAUGUAAGCCUAAUUAUUUUCAAUUUGUAUAUUUUAUAUGCUGUUUUUUUUUUUUA